rnacentral:lncRNA from 1 species
UUUGAAUAUAAUCAGAGGAAAUCAAUGAACUUGCAAACUGAUUAAAUAAUAAUAUAUUGAGAAUAUCAUCUCGACACACUUUUGAGAAAACUAUCUAGAGGUGCAUUGCUUAGUUAGUUAAUACUGAUCUUCCUCUCAUGUUAUCACUACAAAUAAGAACAUCAUUAUUCCACAGGUUCCGAGUUUUAGAACAAUGAGGCCAACACCAAUAAGAACAAAUAGAUUUCAGCUACUAGAAACACGAUAGUUGCGGGCUUCUCCUGGACCUUUACCCCAGUACCAAAAGUGCUAAAUUAUCAAAAUCCAUGUCCAGAACAACCACACUUCUGAAGAUGCAAGUUGUAAGGGAAUGUUCAGGAUAUCUCGUCUUCCUCUACUCCACGUCAGCUGAGAACCACAGCUCGACGCCGACUGAAUUAUAAGUAUUUUUUUGGAAGUCAGCAACUGUUUCAGAAUACAACAAUUUAGUAAAUCAUUCAAUACUACAACUCAGUUUCAUUGCUGUUUUCAAGCAUAAAUAGAUCAGCAAGAAAUGGCAAGACUAGUGAAAAGGCUCACCAUUCUGAGUAGUACUCGAUCAAUACGUUGAUGCUAUGUUUCAUUUGAGAACAGUACAUGACCAUGGUUUAUGCUAUCUGACCCCUUCUCUACUGGAUGGAAAGAAAGGCACACAUACAACUGUUUAUCGAGCAUAGAAAAAUGCAAUUGGUUUAUCCUAUCACUGAUCCACCUACUAGCUCGCUUGUCCUUUUCAGAUAAGAACUGCGAAUAGAUUGAUGUAAGUUAACAAAUAAAGCAUUAUUGGGCAGACAUUUUCAGACUAUAGGCAAGGUAGUUUUUCUUCAUUGCAGAAGUAAAAGGUAUAUAUUGUACAAAAAUAAAGACAAAGAAAAAAGUAUGUGUAAUACGUGCAGCAAUAACAUUGGCUGCAACAGCCUUAAAAAACACAUGGGCUAGAAAACGAGCCUUGGAAGAUUAAAUCAUGAAGGUUCACUUGUGCUAACUGUAGUUAAGGAAAAACCCUUCACUCCACCAAACAGGAUAACAUAGUCUAGAAGCAGUUCGUUUCUUUGCAAAGAUAAUACUAUCUCGCAACAUGAAGAAUGACAUAUUGUCACUUAUCAGAUUCAGACAAACCACAAACCAUUAUCGAGCAUAUUUUAAUCUGGACAGUCAUUCCAUAUUUGCCAACAGAAAUUAAAUUAUGUACAUCAUUUAUAUUUUGAGUUUAAACUAUAAUGUCAGUGCAACAAAUUCCAUAUGUAUAUACUAAAGCAAGAGACAGUAAUGAUUACUAUUUUGAGCUUAGACAAUCAUUGCAAUAGAUGAGCAACAUUAAAACAAUCAUUCAUAGUUCGGGUCAUAAGCAUUUGCCUUUUAUACUCUACUAGCUAAACACAGAUGCAAGAUCCAGUAGUAGCUCAGGAAUCAAGAGUUGAAAGAACAAACCAAACACCGUCCACCUGCAUAUACCAAAACAAGAAUCACUUAACAGAUUAUUCACAUCUGGUCUUAACAUAAAGUAACAUUAGAAUAGCAUAGGAAUUGGAUGAGGAAUUUCUAGUGUACUAUCAAAUAUCAAUUGACAGGGAUUUAAACCGAACAUGGUAUGAAGGUAUUUCCCCUAGAUGGCACAUAUGUGUCUUGGAUGGAGCUGCUGCACACGCAUCCUGUUUUUUUGUACAAACUUGAGUCAGGCCAAGAACCUGUCGUCCGUAUACUGAUGCCCAUACUUCAGAUUUAAUUUCUGAAACCAAUUGGCACAAGGAAACAUUGAUGAUACCCAUUACUACAAACUGAUCCCCUUCAAUGCACCAAUCUACAUCAAUCAGUUGUAGUCCAAGUUAAAUUACGCCCCAUAUCCAAAUGCUAGAAUACUCGCAGUAGGACCAAGCCUCAGAGCACAAACAAGGGAGGAGGAUUUUUCAGUAAUCCAUCAGAAACAAUGCAUGGCUUAAACUAAAUAAAUAGCAG